rfam:Hordeum vulgare subsp. vulgare, WGS project CAJW01000000 data, contig: morex_contig_56633
GCUAUACAACCUCCGUCCAGAAUUAGUUGACUAAGAUUUGUCUAGAUACGGAUGUAUCUAGACAUGUUUUAGUGUUAGAUACAUCCGUAUCUAGACAAAUCUAAGAUAACUAAUUUGGAACGGAGGGAGUACUUA